rnacentral:rRNA from 1 species
AUUGAACGCUGGCGGCAUGCCUUACACAUGCAAGUCGAACGGUAACAGGUCUUCGGAUGCUGACGAGAGGCGAACGGGUGAGUAAUACAUCGGAACGUGCCCGAUCGUGGGGGAUAACGAAGCGAAAGCUUUGCUAAUACCGCAUAAGAUCUACGGAUGAAAGCAGGGGACCGCAAGGCCUUGCGCGAACGGAGCGGCCGAUGGCAGAUUAGGUAGUUGGUGGGAUAAAAGCUUACCAAGCCGACGAUCUGUAGCUGGUCUGAGAGGACGACCAGCCACACUGGGACUGAGACACGGCCCAGACUCCUACGGGAGGCAGCAGUGGGGAAUUUUGGACAAUGGGCGAAAGCCUGAUCCCGCCAUGCCGCGUGCAGGAUGAAGGCCUUCGGGUUGUAAACUGCUUUUGUACGGAACGAAAAGACUCUGGUUAAUACCUGGGGUCCAUGACGGUACCGUAAGAAUAAGCACCGGCUAACUACGUGCCAGCAGCCGCCGCAGUAA